rnacentral:rRNA from 1 species
AUUGAACGCUGGCGGCAGGCCUAACACAUGCAAGUCGAGCGAGCGGCGGACGGGUGAGAAAUGUAAGGGGACUGACCGAUAGAGGGGGAUAACUACUGGAAACGGUGGCUAAUACCGCAUACUAUCAGAUAAUCCAUAUGGGAUUAGCUAGUAGGUGGGGUAAAGGCUCACCUAGGCGACGAUCUCUAGAUGGUCUGAGAGGAUGAUCAGCCACUCUGUAGCGGAGACACGGCCCGGACUCCUGCGGAGGCAGCAUUGGGGAAUAUUGCACAAGUGGCCCUAUCCUGGUGCAGCCAUGCCUCGUGUAUGAAGAAGGCCUUAGGGUUCUAAAGUACUUUCAUCUGGGAGGCGUUGCCCUCAGAAGAAGCACCGGCUAACUCCGUGACAGCAGCCGCGGUAAUUC